GUCGACGUCAACGGUCGGUCCUUUCUGUGAACGCCAAAAUAAAACGUCUAAAAACUUUUCUGUCGGACUCAUAACUCGACACACAUGGCAGCGGCGGGAUAAGGCGGAGAGGGAAGCCGUUUUCUCCGGGCUGUAACGGUUGUUGGGACUCGGUUGUGUUCACGUACCGGAGGAGGCUCCUGUUUCCUCCCCGUCUUUCUUUCCAGGGGUCGCACAGCCGAGACAGAAGAGAGCCAGCGGGCUGGAGCCGUUUAGCCGACCUGCUAGCUAACGUCAAGUUGUAAGAAAGUGGAGAAGACGGCGGCUAAACGGGAGCUUAUCCGCCUACACAGACCUAUGCGACGGAUAGCAGGUGAGUGAUGGAGACGAGAGAGUUGACCGUGGUAGCUGGCAGCUUCGUGGGUUUCCAGCUCCUCUUCUCAGUGGCCAGUCCGCGGCUCUCCUCCGUCAUCACACCAGGAUAUGCACGGCUGCCUCCCACCAAGCACACCGAGUGGAACUCCAGGUUGGUGUCGACUGUGCACGCUCUGAUCGUGGGGUUGUUCUGUCUGUACAUCCUGUGGUUCGAUGAUGAGGUCAACGCCAACCCUGUCUGGGGUGACCCCAGCCUCGUCAAACUAAACGUAGCCAUAACCUGUGGUUACCUCCUUUAUGACCUUGUGCUGCUAGCAUGUAACUGGAGCACUAUGGGAGACAGCUUUUUUGUCUGUCACCACUUGGCGGCGCUCUAUGCAUAUGGAUAUGUGCUGACACGUGGCGUGCUUCCCUACUUUGCCAACUUUCGCCUCAUUUCAGAGUUGUCCACACCUUUUGUGAACCAAAGGUGGUUCUUCGAGGCGUUAAAGUACCCCCGCUCACAUCGGCUGGUGGUACUAAACGGCGUUGCCAUGGCGGUGGUGUUCUUCCUGGUACGCACCGCCGUCAUGCCAUCUUACUGGGCCAGUGUAUUCGCCACCUUUGGCACUCCAGAAUUUGAGCGGCUGGGCUUGGGCGCCCAGGUGGCCUGGAUCACCUCCUGCAUCGCCCUGGACAUCUUGAACCUUAUCUGGAUGUAUAAGAUCACCCGUGGCUGCUACAAGGUCCUGACCGGGAGGGGAGGACGAAAGGUCAAGGAGGCAGCAGAGAAGGAGUCUUCCCCAGACGGGAAGCACGUCAACAACCACACAGACUAAAGAGAUGUAGAGCAAAGGAUAAGUAGACAUGGACAUGAGCAGGGAGGGAGGCUGGACAUCCAGGAACCUCACAGCCUCUCUCGGCUGCUACAGCCUCAGCGUCCCUCCCUCCAAUCCCCAAUCUCAGCCCUUGAUCUCCUUGUAGUUGGCUAGUGGACCGGGCUAGUCCUCAGGUCCUGACCCCAACACGAGACAAAGAGACUGCUCUUUGACUCGCACAAGCACCAGCCUUCGCAGCCUCAGUGUUAGCCUGCUGGGCGAUAGCUUUUGGUCGCAGACAACAAGGUAGAGCUCACAAGCACACUUUUAACUCCGUCUGUCACUCGCCUCUUUCGCCCCCACCGCCAUUCCUGUCCCAUCUCCCCUCAGUCUCCUCUCACGCUCAACUUCAGCCAAAGCCCAAUCCUCUGAAGUGCCUGUGAAAGACAGGAAAGCAAUAAUUGUGGAGGAAUAAGAUCACAAAGUCUAACAGAGCUACACCCCUUCAGAAGACAACCAUCUCUCACUCUCGCUACUGCUCCCGAACGACCGGAGGCUUCUCCUGUCGUUCGCACUCCGUCCACACCAGGAGACGUGCCGCACAGAGCGACGUCCUCCCCCAUCAGAUCCAUACAGUGUUUGUGAAUCUAUAGGGCUCUUGUCUUAAACUCAUCAGACCUCACAAAGAGACAGAAGAAACACCAUAAUGCCUCUUCUACAGUAUCACCUGCUGUGGCCUCCUUGUAACAAGUGGCGCCUGCCUAUAUCACCAGCCAUGCCCCUCCAACCUCCUUACAAUUUGGAUUAUAUAUUAAGAAUCUAAAUAUGCAUGCAGGAGAGAGAAAGACCUGCUCUCCAACAUCCUUAGCUUGUCACGGGACGAUUUUGCCUUUUCAGUAUUCAUGGUGUUGUUUGUAUUGUCUUAUUUUACACACACUGAUGUCCUUCGCAGUCACAUGUCUAAUUCAGAUCUCAUCCAUUGCAACCCUCUGCCUCACUGGAUAAGGCUCCACUAUCCAGCUUGAACGUUUGGUUUUGUUCUACCUCUCCCCCUGUUCCUCUUUCCACUGUAAAGAGUGAUUUAGCCUUUAACGUGUUAUCUGUUGUGAUAUCACUGGUUGAGAGGAACUCCUCCGCGUCUCCUCCGCUUUUUUUUUCCCAGCCAGUGCAGUGAAACAGAGCGGCAUCACUUCUCUCGUCAGUGUAUCUUUCUAGAGAAACACCCCCGGAGGCUUUUAUACUUCCUCUUAUCUCCUUUGUUCUCGGUGACUCUGAGAACCUAAUUUGGGACAGGAGUGGAAAAAGUCCACACACACACAAACACUUGUAGAUGUGUGAACAUUUUCCACUCUCCUCCUCAAGUUUGCACAAGCAGAGCGUAGCAUGCAAACUGUACACUGUAUUUGGUGCCCUUCUUAAACACUGACAUGGUGCUCUUUUGUUUCUGUUGCAGAAUGUCAGCAGUAGGAAUGCUAGCAAUAUGACAUUUUUCAAAAGUUUCUAAUUAAUUUGGAUGUACCGAUCUGUGAUAAGAAUCUGUUGGAAUCAGUGUGGCAAUCUGCAUGUUGUUUUGUUUUCUCUAUAAACUGUAAAUCAUCACUAUGGAGCAUGGUAAGAUGGACAUAUCUCUGUGAUGCCUUAGCGAAUAGUCAAGAUAGAUGUAUAACAUCUAAAUAUUAACUGCAUUAAUCUGUUGCUUAAAGGGGUUUGUCUUCCAGAUGAUUUUGCCUCUCAGAGCAGACUGACUGCAUGAACUUUGAUUCCUUUCUCCUCUCCCUGCAUGUCUGUACAGUAUAUACACACACAGUAGCUACCUUCUGCGUACUGUAUGGCUAACUCACUAAUCAUCACCACGUUCUCUGUGUGCCACUGGGCAUUACUCGGUUUUACAAAUUCAUUAACUCUUGUCUUUGUACUCUAAUGGCUACAUAGCUGAAUCAUGACAGACAGACAGAGAUACAGGAGGAUGUUUCAGAUUUGUUUUUUGUCACUCUAGAAAUUUAGAAAAGACAAGCUGGCGUGUGUACUCCUGUUUCCUUUUCGCUUAAAGGAGAACUCCACUUACUCAGCAUAUCACUCCUAUAGUGAGGCGAAGCUCCGCCCCUUCCUGUGUCCCCCAGGGGACUUUAUUUCAGAAAAAAUAGAGUCGUUUUUCUGUAGGCUGACAUGAGUGUAAACAUGGCACUGGUACCCUCUUCGAAAUGUCUGAGAUUUUUCAUUUGAUUUUGGAUUAUUGCUGAAAAUAAGCUUGGCGCAAAACAAACGUUUAUGAUACUUAAGCAGGAUUUAAACUUGUGCAGCAGAGCCUACAGCGGUGUGAGCAUUUAUAUUUGUGCAGUGUGUCUGCGUCACUCUGCAGUUACACCUCCAAAACACACAUUAAACACACAUUAAACAUGGCUUAAUAGAGACAGUUUCAAACACAAAUACACAAAUCAGCUUCACUAUAACUCGCAGCAUUCACAGACAAACACUUGUCUUUAUCUGGACACAUUUUCCCCACAAAUACAACAUGCUAACAUUAUUAGCACAAGCCUAUGGCAUUUUACAUUGUAUAAAUUAGCCUAGCAGCUAGCUGACUUUUCCUCUCCUCAUAUGAAGCCAGGGACAACAGCAACAUUUAACAAAGGUAACGUUACAAAAUUCAGCUCCAUUACAGCUCACAAGGUUCACUGACAAAACAACUGUCUUAUACUAAACACGUUUUCCAAACAAAUACAACAUGCUAACGUUAUUAGCACAAGCCUAUGGCAUUUUACACUGUAUGAAUUAGCCUAGCAACAGGAUAAAUCACACACAAUACUUAAAAUGCUAUCUUUGUGGAAGCUCACUUAAUCGCUCUUGCAGAGCUUUUAAAUCUUAAUCAACAUCAGGUGUCAUCAAGUGACCAUCGGUUAUACGGUGACAAUAGGUGGUUGUAUAUGGAAAGGAUCCUCGGCCCUGUCUUGUGAUUAUUCAAGGUUAUAUCAAGAAUUUAUUGGCGCCCUAUGUGCCUGGGUGUGUCAUUAGAGCAGUGGCUGUUCCUCAAUUUCAGCUGGUGACCAAAGGUGACCAGACCUUUGCUGUUAGAGCGUCCAGACUGUAGGACACCCCUUCUUAGAACUUUCUUUUAUGGAAAGCAUUUAUGAAUAUUUAAUAUGUUGCUGGCUUUUAUCAUCUCUCCUUAGCUAUUUUAUUGUGCUAUUUUUAAACUUUAUUUUAUCCCAUCAGUGUUUUAUUGACUUUUGUAUUUUAUUUCCUUGUUGUUUUUAGUUUUUGUCUGCUGUUGUAAUCUGAAAAGAACUUAAAUAAAUUCAGUAUAUUUUUAUUAUCAAAUGACCAGUGUUCCCCACUGAGGUCACAUGAGGACUGACAGUCAUUCACUGAUUAAGACCCUGAUCACAUAGAAAGUGUUUUAACAGCUGGAGGCGGCUUUUUGUAAUUGUUUUUAAUGAGAAUGAAGCUUUUUGCAUUGCUACGCGCCUCACAUUUCUGAAUUUUAGGCACCUGGUGUUUUUGCCGGAGCACUCUGAAUUCCUAGAAUUGGCAAAACUUCAACUCAGAGCAGAAAAGCGCCCCAUGUCAUCUCCACUUUUUUCCCAUUGUCCAAUCAGAUGAUUUGAGAGGCGGGCUUUCUGUGGUGGUCACAACAACAAGUUCACAGUUGGUACAAUGGAGGAGAAAGUGGUGGUAGUGGUUGCUGGAUACCCAGAGCUAUACGGCCUGAUGAUAGACA